AGGCGCGUAGCUCAGCUGGUUAGAGUACUACCUUGACACGGUAGGGGUCAGCGGUUCGAGUCCGCUCGCGCCUACCA
rnacentral:tRNA from 4 species